GUGGGGAAUUUUGGACAAUGGGCGAAAGCCUGAUCCAGCAAUGCCGCGUGUGUGAAGAAGGCCUUCGGGUUGUAAAGCACUUUUGUCCGGAAAGAAAUCCUUUGGGUUAAUACCUCGGAGGGAUGACGGUACCGGAAGAAUAAGGACCGGCUAACUACGUGCCAGCAGCCGCGGUAAUACGUAGGGUCCGAGCGUUAAUCGGAAUUACUGGGCGUAAAGCGUGCGCAGGCGGUUUUGUAAGACAGAUGUGAAAUCCCCGGGCUUAACCUGGGAAUUGCAUUUGUGACUGCAAGGCUAGAGUGUGUCAGAGGGGGGUAGAAUUCCACGUGUAGCAGUGAAAUGCGUAGAGAUGUGGAGGAAUACCGAUGGCGAAGGCAGCCCCCUGGGAUAACACUGACGCUCAUGCACGAAAGCGUGGGGAGCAAACAGGAUUAGAUACCCUAGUAGUCC
rnacentral:rRNA from 1 species